rnacentral:rRNA from 1 species
GGAAGUAAAAGUCGUAACAAGGUUUCCGUAGGUGAACCUGCGGAAGGAUCAUUAUCAAAACAGCGGACUUCGGUCCUUGCUGCACCCUUGUCUUUUGCGUACCGUAUGUUUCCUCGGCGGGCUUGCCUGCCGGUUGGACAUUAUCAAACCUUUUUGUAGUUGCAAUCAGCGUCAGAAAAUAAACAAUAAUUACAACUUUCAACAACGGAUCUCUUGGUUCUGGCAUCGAUGAAGAACGCAGCGAAAUGCGAAAAGUAGUGUGAAUUGCAGAAUUCAGUGAAUCAUCGAAUCUUUGAACGCACAUUGCGCCCCUUGGUAUUCCAUGGGGCAUGCCUGUUCGAGCGUCAUUUUGUACCCUCAAGCACUGCUUGGUGUUGGGCGUUUGUCCUGCAAAGGACUCGCCUGAAAGCGAUUGGCGGCCAACGUACUGGUGGUAGAGCGCAGCACAAUUUGCGUCUCUCCCUUCUACGUCGGCGUCCAUGAAGCCUUUUACAACGUGACCUCGAUCAGGUAGUUGA